GAUGAACGCUGGCGGCAUGCCUAAUACAUGCCGGUCGAGCGAACAGACGAGGAGCUUGCUCCUCUGACGUUAGCGGCGGACGGGUGAGUAACACGUGGAUAACCUACCUAUAAGACUGGGAUAACUUCGGGAAACCGGAGCUAAUACCGGAUAAUAUAUUGAACCGCAUGGUUCAAUAGUGAAAGACGGUUUUGCUGUCACUUAUAGAUGGAUCCGCGCCGCAUUAGCUAGUUGGUAAGGUAACGGCUUACCAAGGCAACGAUGCGUAGCCGACCUGAGAGGGUGAUCGGCCACACUGGAACUGAGACACGGUCCAGACUCCUACGGGAGGCAGCAGUAGGGAAUCUUCCGCAAUGGGCGAAAGCUUGAUGGAGCAACGCCGCGUGAGUGAUGAAGGUCUUCGGAUCGUAAAACUCUGUUAUUAGGGAAGAACAAAUGUGUAAGUAACUAUGCACGUCUUGACGGUACCUAAUCAGAAAGCCACGGCUAACUACGUG
rnacentral:rRNA from 1 species